rnacentral:lncRNA from 1 species
AAUGUUAAUAUUUAUGUGUCUGUCUUAUGUGUCAGAUGUGAUGCUUUUUAACUGUGUUGAUGUGAAACCUACUAACUUCUUCUAACUUAUUUUCUUUCUUCUUUUCAGGACUUCCCUAAAUAAUCGCCAUUCACCUGGCAAUCAGGUAAAAAUGUGUCUUUCUGUAUUAUACCCAGAAAUGUAUAUUUCAGACUAAAUUUGAGAAUUUGUGUUCAUUUUAUUUUGACAAUUUAUUUGUUAAUGUGAAACUCACUAAUGUGAAUCAUCUUUUAACAGGACGGAGAACUAAAUGGCCUGUGUAUGUAAGUGUUUAGUUCUUAAUAUGUUAUUAUGUAACAUAUUUUUAUUCCAUUCAAGAUUUCAUGGUUAUUUAUAUCUUACAUGUAUCAUCAACACCGGUUGGUGAAAGAACUCCACUUCCUGACUCUCUGAGACUAAUAGUCUUAGGUGAUGUCCUCACUGCCAAGGACUGGAGGCUCAGUAUUGAGGGUCGUGGUCUCUGCGCCUGGCAAUGGCUGGAUUCUUUGCUAAGCUUCUACAACUUCAAUCUGCUGUACCUGGAACAAGCUGCAAAGGUACGUUUUAAAAAGAUGGACAGUUACAGCACAGUGGUGUAGCAGUUAGUGCUGUUGCCUCACAGCAAGAAGGUCCUGUGUUUGAUUCCUGGGCCGGGGCCUUUCUGUGUAGAGUUUGCAUGUUAAAUGGUAACAUCUAUAUAGUGCUUUUCUACCUGCUUUAGGCACUCAAAGCGCUGAACCAGUCACUCUCUAGUUACAAGACCACCCGAUUUACCAUUUGCACCACUGCUGUCCCAUGUUCUCCCCGUGUCUGAGUAGGUUUCCUCCAGGUGUUUCCCCUACCACUAAAAACAUGUAUAAUAGAAUCCCUUCUGGGGCCAGGAUUCCCUUGAGAAAGAGAUUCUUAAUCUCAGUGGGACUUUCCUGGAUAAAUAAAGGUCAAAUGAAUGUUCAACACAACCUCCUCGGAGCUGUGGUUCACUAUUAAUGUUCACUAUUAAUUCAUUCUUACCUAUUUUCUUUUUCCUGGUGCUUCCGCUCCUUUUAUUUAUUUAUUUUUGUUUAUUUGUUGGGGACAGUGCAUGCUGAGCUGCCCAAAUCAGUGUCAGUCAUUUGUAUGUUGUAUUUGUUUUACAUCCCCAAACUGUGAUUGCCCCACAAAACAUAAUCCCAC